rnacentral:lncRNA from 1 species
AAGAAUUACGUGCAUCUGGAAUCAAGAAACAUGGCCAUUGUAUUGCUAAAUAAAUUGGAACCGAGUUUUCUAACUGCAGCACCCUGUAAUCGCUUUAUCACCCGAAAGGAAAGAGCAAACCAACAAUGAAACUAAGACUACAACAAAUGGAAACAUUAUGUUAUCGAUCGGGCUUAUGAAUUUCAACAAACUGGUACGUAUAUUUUCUUUCUAUUGCUGAUCUCAGCACAGAGGCAGAUCUUCUGGAGGGGAUUCAAUGGAUUGCAAUUCUCCGACUCCAUUCUCGACCAAGAAAGCCGUGGCAAGACCCCAGGUGAUGUGAACAUCCAAGUGGCAAUGCAUUAGCCAAACACCUAUUUAUGCAAAAAAAUGAAAAGAAAGUUGGAAACAUUUAAUUUAGAUUGGAGUCCAAUUGAAGCUAAGGUUUGACAUCAUUGUAUGAUCAUGAAUGCAGAGUGUUCAUAUUUUUUACCUGGAUUGUCUGCUACGAAUCUAAUGACUGCCCAUCCAUUUACAGGCACUGCAACUGUGUUUCUGAGAGGUGGAUCAACAAGGUUAAAUUUUGACGGGUCUGUUCGGGGAUUGUAAUUUCCAAAUCCUUGUGCGAUAAUGUAGAA